GAGGCAUUUCCAUGUGUGACACAAUCUCCCAGGAAAACCUGACCACCCCACGGUGGUUUGACAUUUUUAUUUGCCUUAGUUUUCGUGUGAGCGGCCGGAUUAGUUUCGUCUGAGGCUGCCCCUUGGAAUUGUGGGUAAUGGAGACGUAAGUGGUCAGGCCAUGGAUAUGUAUAGAAGACAGCGCGCUAGCCUAUCUAAUCUUCUGUCUACAUCUCUGGCUGCUGAUGACCUUGUUUUUGGAGUAAAACACGGUAAGAAGAUAAAUACUUUUAACCAGUAGCAUUGUUUUGUUGUAUGUUAAGUCAGCGACUUGUGAAGAGUUGUGUUUUGUCGUGUUUGAGCAGUUGGUCCAGACGCGUUAGCUCGCUAAGCGGCUAAGUUAGCUAGCGGGCUAGCCGCUUAGGGCGCUCGGGCGCCGCCCCCAUCAAGAUUUUGUGAAAAAGGUAUUGAUACAGUAAACAUAAAUACGUAUUUAAAGUAAUUAACACAUCUGCACAGUGUUCACUCAUACAGUGGGUCUCAUUUUUAUUUUUUAAGCCUUUCCAUUCCAUAUUGGGGAGGUUUUUCGGGGUUGUUUUACACGUUUCAAUAGCGAGGGGCGCCUGACAAAUGAGAGUGCAUGUACAUUCUCCGACAGCAAAGAGGCGUCGGGCACUCAGUUCAGAGGAUCGUCAAAGGGUUGCAGAAGAGAUCUGCAAGACCAUUCUGGGACACACCAAGGAGCGCUUCUCCUUCACCGACCAUCUCGUCCGUGCAACCUCGUUGCAGGGGGACAGGUUUGAAGAACAUUACGGGUCAUUUCCUGAAGAGGCACUGCAACGCACUUUGAAGGCCUACCCGAUGCUGAAUGGAAGCAAGCUGAAGACAGAACCCGGUCUCAUCUCCAGCAAAGUAGAGUUCAGAGCCUGCUGUGGUGCACUGGACCUAUUCCAGCUGUUUAUGGAGAACAAUCUUGAAGUUGUCUUUUCAGAAACUGUCAAUCUUUGAAGGAUCCCGAUCACCACAGCCAUGACCACAGCUGAAGCAGAGAGGUGUUUCUCAACCUUGAAAAGAGUGAAAACUUUUCUCAGAAACACCAUGACCCAGGAAAGGCUGAAUGCCUUGGCCAUGCUCUCCAUGGAAAAGAGACUUGUUUGUGAAAUGACAGAUUUCAAUCAGAAAGUCAUUGAUAAAUUUGCUGGCCUGAAGGAGAGGAGAGCAAAAUUGAUGUUCAAGUAAUUGUUUUGUUGUCUUGUAAUGCCCGUCUGCUAGUGCGCCCCCCCAGCAUAUUUUAUCACCAGCCGCCACUGUUUAAGACUCUGUCUGAUCUUUGAACUGAACAAUGCCAUUGACCUACCACUGCAGCACAUAAAUCACCAAGCAGUCUGUGGAACAAAAACGUGAUCGAUGUCUGUUGAUGCUUAACUGACAAAUGAUUUGUUUCUUCAGCUUA